rnacentral:rRNA from 1 species
UACGUAGGGGGCGAGCGUUGCUCGGAAUUACUGGGCGCAAAGGGCGCGUAGGCGGACAGUUUAGUCAGAGGUGAAAGCCCAGGGCUCAACCUUGGAAUUGCCUUUGAUACUGGCUGUCUUGAGUUCGAGAGAGGUGAGUGGAAUGCCGAGUGUAGAGGUGAAAUUCGUAGAUAUUCGGCGGAACACCAGUGGCGAAGGCGACUCACUGGCCCGAUACUGACGCUGAGGCGCGAAAGCGUGGGGAGCAAACAGG